rnacentral:rRNA from 1 species
GAAUUUUGGACAAUGGGGGCAACCCUGAUCCAGCCAUCCCGCGUGUGCGAUGAAGGCCUUCGGGUUGUAAAGCACUUUUGGCAGGGAAGAAAAGGCUCUGGCUAAUACCUGGCGCUGCCGACGGUACCUGCAGAAUCAGCCCCGGCUAACUACGUUACAGCCACCGCGGUAAUACGGAGGGGGCAAGCGUUCAUCGGAAUUACUGGGCGUAAAGCGGGCGCAGGCGGUUCUGCAAGAAGGAUGUGAAAUCACAGGGCUUAACCUUGGAACUGCAUUCUUAACUGCCGGGCUAGAGUAUGUCAGAGGGGGGUAGAAUUCCGCGUGUAGCAGUGAAAUGCGUAGAGAUGCGGAGGAAUACCGAUGGCGAAGGCAGCCCCCUGGGAUAAUACUGACGCUCAUGCACGAAAGCGUGGGGAGCAAAC